UUAUUGUUCUUGGGAACAAAAAUCAUAUUCCCAGAAUCCAGCCAAGCACGCGGCACACGCAUGUCAGCGCACACACACACACACACACCAAUACAAACAGUGACUUAGCGCUGAUAGUGACUUAAAAUAUCUGUUUCAGGAAGACAGCAAUGAAGAGCAGUUUGUUCAUGACCUUGGAAAAACCAAGAGAGCUGUUUUUACCGUCACCAAUAUCAGUUACGAUGUGCGUGGAGUUGCCAUGCAGGUAAGGGCAGUACUUACUUUAGCUUUUAGUGGAUAAAUCUAUACGGCCACAUGAUGGAGCCAAAACCUUGGUAGUUCGUGCGGCUUUUCAGACCAGCUUCCAAAUUCCUUCUCCUAUAGAAAUGUUGCCACCAUGACUUUGUUAUUUUACUUUGAAAAACAAAUUUAUGAAGCAUAAGUAAUUCUUUUUGUAUUUUCAAAGUAAUGUGUUAUAUUCUAGUCAGUUUCUUAAGUCAACAGGUAGACCCGACUUAGUUCUUGUGAUUUUAUACUGGUAAAAUUGGAGUUUUCUAAGCCACAAGGAAUACAUUGUCUGAGUUGUGCAAAAGAGGGAUACAAUUCUAUAUUUUUUAAAUUUAAGAAU
rnacentral:lncRNA from 1 species